GAUGAACGCUAGCUACAGGCUUAACACAUGCAAGUCGAGGGGUAACGAGAGGAAAGCUUGCUUUCCUUGUCGACGACCGGCGCACGGGUGAGUAACGCGUAUCCAACCUGCCCCCAACUAAGGAAUAACCUUGCGAAAGUAAGACUAAUACCUUAUAAUUUCCUCAGAUGACAUCUGAGGAGGAGUAAAGAUUUAUCGGUCGUGGAUGGGGAUGCGUCUGAGUAGCUUGUUGGCGGGGUAACGGCCCACCAAGGCAACGAUCAGUAGGGGUUCUGAGAGGAAGGUCCCCCACAUUGGAACUGAGACACGGUCCAAACUCCUACGGGAGGCAGCAGUGAGGAAUAUUGGUCAAUGGGCGAAAGCCUGAACCAGCCAAGUAGCGUGCAGGAUGACGGCCCUAUGGGUUGUAAACUGCUUUUAUACAGGAAUAAAGUUAGCCACGUGUGGUUAUUUGUAGGUACUGUAUGAAUAAGGACCGGCUAAUUCCGUGCCAGCAGCCGCAGUAA
rnacentral:rRNA from 1 species